rnacentral:snRNA from 1 species
AAAUCCUUUUUCAAGUGAAUCAA